GUCCCUGUAGCGUAAUGGAUAGCGCGCGCGUUGGACAUUUAUUUAAAGGUUGUGGGUUCGAAUCCCACCUGAGAUG